CGCCGGAUAAUAAUGACGGCCUGUGUGCUUUGCAGCCUUUUCCAGGGAUCCUUCAGAGGACUAACAAUGGUGCUGUGUUAAGAAAUCCUACCCAACAAAAUUCCACUGAGGCAGAUGUAGAGAUGACUGCGAGAAACUGGCUGCGGCUGAGGAGGGACAGGAAGCAAGAGGGCGAGCAUCUUAAAGUGAAAUAAUUGAUUGGACUGAUUUUUCCUGUUUACCUAUUUUGGAGGGAAUUUCUUUUUGUUGUUGUUGUACUUUUCUAUGUGUGAUUUGAUGAGUGUUAAAAUAAAUGAUA